AUGCGUACCGGUGAUCACGUACUUGCUAUGGUCAAUGAUUUACACGUAAUCUUUGGAAAGGGUCCCGGCGGACUAGCUGUUCCGAAUGACGUUGAGGGACACGCACCCAUGUGGAAGAAGAAAUCUAUAUUUUGGGACCUACCCUACUGGAAAGAGCUAGAGGUCCGCUCUUCAAUCGACGUGAUGCACGUGACGAAGAACCUUUGCGUGAACCUGCUAGGCUUCUUGGGCGUGUAUGGGAAAACAAAAGAUACACCUGAGGCACGGGAGGACCUGCAACGUUUGCACGAAAAAGACGGCAUGCCUCCGAAGCAGUAUGAAGGUCCUGCCAGCUACGCUCUUACGAAAGAAGAGAAAGAAAUCUUCUUUGAAUGCCUGCUCAGUAUGAAGGUCCCGACUGGCUUCUCGUCGAAUAUAAAGGGAAUAAUAAAUAUGCCAGAGAAAAAGUUCCAGAACCUAAAGUCUCAUGACUGCCACUUGAUUAUGACGCAACUGCUUCCGGUUGCAUUGAGGGGGCUUCUACCGGAAAACGUCCGAUUAGCCAUUGUGAAGCUAUGUGCAUUCCUCAAUGCAAUCUCUCAGAAGGUGAUCGAUCCAGAAAUCAUACCAAGGCUAAGGAGUGAUGUGGCGCAAUGUCUUGUCAGUUUCGAGCUGGUGUUCCCACCAUCCUUCUUCAAUUUCAUGACGCACGUCCUAGUUCAUCUAGUCGACGAGAUUGUCAUUCUGGGGCCCGUAUUUCUACACAAUAUGUUCCCCUUUGAGAGGUUCAUGGGAGUCCUAAAGAAAUAUGUCCGUAACCGCGCUAGGCCAGAAGGAAGCAUCUCCAUGGGCCAUCAAACAGUGGAUGUCAUUGGGUUUUGUGUUGACUUCAUUCCUGGCCUUAAGAAGAUAGGUCUCCCUAAAUCGCGGUAUGAGGGGAGACUGACUGGAAAAGGCACGCUUGGAGGGGGGAACUCAAUAAUAUGCAGGGACGGAUAUUCUUGGUCUGAAGCACACUACACAGUUCUACAGAACUCUACCUUGGUGACCCCGUAUGUCGAUGAACACAAGAACAGUCUGCGCUCCAAACACCCGGAGCAGUGUGACGACUGGAUUACAUGUGAACACAUCAGGACUUUCAGCAGUUGGUUGGAAACACGUCUCAGAGGUGACACCACUGUUUGUGAUGAGUUGUACUCGUUGUCCAGGGGACCAUCUUCGACUGUAUUGACUUACAAAGGAUACGAGAUAAAUGGGAAUACAUUUUACACGAUCGCCCAAGAUCAAAAGAGCACCAACCAAAACAGCGGUGUCCGCUUUGAUGCAGCAACCGAGAGGGGAAAUGACACAUAUUAUGGUUACAUAAUGGACAUAUGGGAACUUGACUACGGACAUGAUUUUAAGGUCCCUUCGUUUAAGUGCAAAUGGGUCAAUCUGUCAGGAGGCGGGGUACAGGUAGACCCACAGUACGGAAUAACAACAGUGGAUCUGAACAAUCUUGGGUACACUGACGAACCGUUCGUCCUAGCCAAUGAUGUGGCACAGGUUAUCUAUGUGAAGGACAUGUCUACCAGACCGUGGAAAAGAAAAGAUAAGGAAGCGAAUACAUCAUACGAUGAGCCAAAGCGGCACAUAGUUCUUUCAGGAAAAAGGGACAUUGUGGGAGUGGAGGGCAAGACAGACAUGUCUGAAGAUUAUGAAAAGUUUCAUGAAAUUCCUCCCUUCAAAGUCAAGGCUGACCCAAGCAUCCUGAUAAACGAUGAAGAUUAUCCAUGGUUACGGCGCAAUAAGCAAAUGACACAAGCGAAGAAAAAGUGA
rnacentral:rRNA from 1 species